rnacentral:rRNA from 1 species
GACGAACGCUGGCGGCGUGCUUAACACAUGCAAGUCGAACGGAAAGGCCCUGCUUUUUUGGGGUUCUCGAUUGGCGAACGGGUGAGUAACACGUGAGUAACCUGCCCUUGACUUUGGGAUAACUUCAGGAAACUGGGGCUAAUACCGUAUAGGAUCUCCUGCUGCAUGGUGGGGGUUGGAAAGUUUCGGCGGUUGGGGUUGGACUCGCGGCUUAUCAGCUUGUUGGUGGGGAAGUGGCUUACCAAGCUUUGACGGGUAGCCGGCCUGAGAGGGGGGACGGCGACAAUGGGACUGAGAUACGGCGCAGACUCGUACGGGAGGCAGAAGGGGGGAAUAUUGCACAGUGGGCGGAAGCGUGAGGAAGAAACGCCGCGUGUGGGAUGACGGCCUGCGGGUUGAAAACAGCUGUAGCCUGAGACGAAGCGGGAGUGACGGUAAUGGGUAAAGAAGCACCGGCUAACUACGUG